AUUGAACGCUGGCGGCAUGCCUUACACAUGCAAGUCGAACGGCAGCACGGGGCAACCUGGUGGCGAGUGGCGAACGGGUGAGUAAUGCAUCGGAACGUGCCAUUGAGUGGGGGAUAACGUAGCGAAAGUUGCGCUAAUACCGCAUAUUCUGUGAGCAGGGAAGCAGGGGAUCGCAAGACCUUGCGCUCUGGGAGCGGCCGAUGUCGGAUUAGCUAGUUGGUGGGGUAAAGGCCUACCAAGGCGACGAUCCGUAGCGGGUCUGAGAGGAUGAUCCGCCACACUGGGACUGAGACACGGCCCAGACUCCUACGGGAGGCAGCAGUGGGGAAUUUUGGACAAUGGGCGAAAGCCUGAUCCAGCCAUGCCGCGUGAGUGAAGAAGGCCU
rnacentral:rRNA from 1 species